rnacentral:ncRNA from 2 species
CCGUCCGAGGGGCGCUGCAGCAAACCCUGUGCAACAGGACUUUGUCAGGCUCGGAUGGGGCGUUAACCAUACGCAUCAACGGCGCCCAUUCGAC